GCGAUGGCGUCACCGCGGCAUAGGAUUCGACCUCGCAGCAGAACGCUCCGUGGCUCCCGCGGGGUGAAAGUGGAGCGCCGCACUUAACGAAGCCAGAGCAGCCCGCAACUUCUGCUGGCCCAGAACCCAACGCAAUGAGACAGCCACCAAACGGCGCCGCUGGGAGCCAACGAUCCCAUGCAGAAUGGAGCAGAGGGCUGAACGCAACGGAGCCAACAGCAGCAGCACUUCCUCCGCCCGCCAUGCUCUGCAAUGAACGUCACUAAACCCAGCGUCGCGACUUCUGCCCACGUGGGUUCGGACUGAGAGAAGCUCAGAGAACGCAGAAGCGAGCAGGGCCAGGAUGGGCACAGUCCUGCUCCCAGGAGGGGUGUAAAGCAGCAGCCCAAAGCACGGCUCUUACCUCUCACACUCGGUGCAGGGGAACACGUUGUGAUGCUCCACGCCGCCGGGAGCUCGGCCCACACUGCAGGAGGGGCUGCCCGCACCGUGGGGUGCCUUCCUGCAGCUCUUCUUGCUGCUCUCCUUGGGCAGAAGGCAGUGCCUCUUCUUCGGGGGGCAGAGGGGCUGCAGGUCAGACAGCAGAGAUGUAGUAGUACUCGACGCACUGGGACACGUUCUUCGUCUGGACCUGAGCGGGAGGAACGGAAGUGACCUCUAUGGGAGAUGGCAGGCAUUGCCCGACCCCCCCGACCACAGCGCCCCAGGGCCGGGCGCAGCCCCUCCCCUCAGCCUCCAGGCUUCACCUUCUUCUGGAUCAGGUAGAAAUCCUUCUUGUGGGCAUGAAAGGCGUUUCUGAAGAGCUGCCUCUCCACGGGCGUCCACACAUCCGAGCCUGGGGAUGAAGCAGCACUCAGCACUGCGGUGCGACGCCGGGAACGGCUCAGGGCAGUCACUGCUCACACCUCUGCACCUCUCCCCUCCGGGACGUUUGGAAGGCAGCUCUGAGCUCGUUACCUGUGUAGCGGUAAUUAGCGAGAGGAUGGGACUGGGAUUUGUGCGGCCAUCCGAACAGCAGCAGCUCCAGAGCGUCCUGCAGGCGGAGGAGAAGGGCUUCAGAUGCCAGGAGAAGCAGACGUGGAACGCUCUGUGCCUUCUGCUCCCAGCUCCGCGCUGCCGCAGUGCCCUCCAGUGCAGGGACGGAUCUGUGCUCCGGCCGCGCUCCGCCACCGCCUCGGCCCAAAGGACUCCGCACUUCCAGCAGCUCGUGGGCCCAGCUGAGCUCCCGGCUCACACCAGGAAGGAUUCGUUGUGGCGCUGUUAAUUACAGCCCGGCAGCGGCUCCUUACCACCACGUUGCCCCGUGCUUCGUGCAGGCAGUGCAGCGCCAGCUCCAGGUUGGUUCCCCCGCCCGGCAUGACGCUGGAACACGCCAUGUUCAGCAGCUCCAUCACUGCAAGGCAAUGGAAAUCAAAGCGCAUCGGCUCCCACCGUAGAACCCAAGGGGUACCAAAAAAGAGAGCUCCGGCCCCCAGCCCCACUUCUGCCCCAUGGAACAGAGCACGGAAGAGCAAGGCAGAGCCUCGGGGCGUGCAGAAAGCUGCAGCGAAAGCAUUUUUAACCAGAGGACCUCCGAAUUCCUGGAGGUAAAGGGUGAAG
rnacentral:lncRNA from 7 species